AUAAAUCUCACGUAAAUUCCAAAA
rnacentral:siRNA from 1 species